AUUGAACGCUGGCGGCAGGCUUAACACAUGCAAGUCGAGCGGUAACAGGAAUAGCUUGCUAUUUGCUGACGAGCGGCGGACGGGUGAGUAAUGCUUGGGAAUAUGCCUUAUGGUGGGGGACAACAGUUGGAAACGACUGCUAAUACCGCAUAAUGUCUACGGACCAAAGGGGGGGAUCUUCGGACCUCUCGCCAUUUGAUUAGCCCAAGUGAGAUUAGCUAGUUGGUAAGGUAAUGGCUUACCAAGGCGACGAUCUCUAGCUGGUUUGAGAGGAUGAUCAGCCACACUGGGACUGAGACACGGCCCAGACUCCUACGGGAGGCAGCAGUGGGGAAUAUUGCACAAUGGGGGAAACCCUGAUGCAGCCAUGCCGCGUGUGUGAAGAAGGCCUUCGGGUUGUAAAGCACUUUCAGUUGUGAGGAAAGGUGUGUAGUUAAUAGCUGCAUACUGUGACGUUAACAGCAGAAGAAGCACCGGCUAACUUCGUGCCAGCAGCCGCGGUAAUACGAGGGGUGCAAGCGUUAAUCGGAAUUACUGGGCGUAAAGCGUUCGUAGGCGGUUGAAUAAGCAAGAUGUGAAAGCCCAGGGCUCAACCUUGGAACUGCAUUUUGAACUGUUCGACUAGAGUACUGUAGAGGGGGGUAGAAUUUCA
rnacentral:rRNA from 1 species